CACGUAGGGCGCAAGCGUUGUCCGGAAUUACUGGGCGUAAAGGGCUCGUAGGCGGCCAACUAAGUCAGACGUGAAAUCCCUCGGCUUAACCGGGGAACUGCGUCUGAUACUGGAUGGCUUGAGUUCGGGAGAGGGAUGCGGAAUUCCAGGUGUAGCGGUGAAAUGCGUAGAUAUCUGGAGGAACACCGGUGGCGAAGGCGGCAUCCUGGACCGACACUGACGCUGAGGAGCGAAAGCCAGGGGAGCAAACGGG
rnacentral:rRNA from 1 species